GAAAAAAUAAAAUAAAUGAUUCUUUCCUAAAGAUGAGUUAUUGACAAAACCUUAUUAUUUCAACUAUUACUUCUCAAGAGAAAUCAUAUCUGCCACCACAUGCACCUCAUGCCAAGUGCCAAUGAGACAAUAUAUACUCACACUACUUCAUAGGUACCAAAGCUUCAAUAGAAAGUAGAAAAAGAACCAGAAAAAAUUCUUGAUUUUUGUGUUAACUUCUAUUCUAAUUUCUUUUCUCAUCUUUUUGAUUUCCAAUCACAUUUUUAUGUGAUCUGUAUAUGACAUGUGAAUUUGUAGUCACAAAUAUUUUAUGUAGAUUUGUGCUUGUGUAUUGUGAUGGAUACUGCAAAACUUAACAUCAAUAUAUGUCCAUAAAGAAACUCAAGCAUGCAUAUAUUUUUUGAAGUUGAAUGCCACAGAUACAUAUAGGGUUGCGAUCCAAUAAAGCUGUCUAAUGAGGAGGAAUGGAGGGCCAAAUGAAAGACGUCAGAGACAUGAAAAGUCAUGUGAAGAGGAAACCAUCAUCAAGAAUGAAAACAUUGAGGCAAUUUCAGCCGAAAAUUCUAUGGAGAGAGAUCUCAAGCUGCCGGAAGAAAAGGUGAAAAAGUACAAAAGAGUUAGACAAAGAAAGUGAAGCAAGUGGGUGGCAAAGGUUCGAGAGCCAAGAACGAAUGAUCGAGUUUGGGUAGGAACAUCAACACUGCUGAUGAAGCUGCUUUGGCUUAUGACAAGACGUUCAUUAAAAUGAAAGGCGUUGAUGCUGUGAAAAACAUCCUCAAACCACCACCAAGAGACCCACAAACAAAGAAAAUCAACUACAUGAAUCCACCGUCGUAAUCUACAGAUGUUGUUAGAUUUAAGAAAUGAAUUAUUAUUUUGUUGUAGAUCCUCUCAAUUAUGAUAAUUAAAUCUAGCUAACUCCCAACUUAGUGGAAUGUUUUUUCUUUUUAUAUUGGUUGGAUUGUACCCUUUUUUCUCGGUUGUAAAGAUCUGAAAGUCCAUAACAUUGUAUGUUUUGGUCUUAGUUUUUGUUCCUAGACGAAAGCAAUUUUACUUAAGUUGCACACCAAAACUCAACUAGAUCAAAACAAAUCAACUAGCAUUUUUA